UAAUUAGCGGCAAAUACGAUAUAUUCUUAUGUGGAAUUGAAUAUAGUUGAUUUGCUUAUUUUGAAGAAAAUAUUGGGAUACGUAAAUGUAUCCCUUUCCCUUUUCUACUUAAUUUGCUUAUCAUACUAUUUCUUUUUUGCGUAAGAAUGUAUUUGCUUGAUUGUAAAGCUUCUUAGAGGAACGAUGUGUGUCUAACACAAGGAAGUUUAAGGCAACAACAGGUCUGUGAUGUCCUUAGAUGAACUAGGCUGCACGCGUGCUACACUGAUAUGUAUAACGAGUUUUAUAAAAUUACGUUUCUGCUUGCAGAUUCGUACUUUUCCUCCACUGAAAAGUGUAGGUAAUCUUUAUCAAUA
rnacentral:rRNA from 1 species